UGCCCCAUGGCUGAGUUGGUUACAGCGUCCGACUGUUACUUAUCUGUAGACAAAUCGGAAGGUCGUGAGUUCGAGCCUCACUGGGGCAG